rnacentral:tRNA from 1 species
GCUCGGAUAGCUCAGAUAGGUAGAGCAUCAGACUUUUAAUCUGAGGGUCCAGGGUUCGAUUCCCUGUUCGAGCG